ACGGAGUCUUGCUCUUUCGCCCAGGCUGGAGUGCAGUGGCACAAUCUCGGCUCACUGCAAGCUCCGCGUCCCGGGUUCACGCCAUUCUCCUGCCUCAGCCUCUCCGAGUAGCUGGGACUACAGGCGCCCGCCACCACGCCCGGCUAAUUUUUUGUAUUUUUAGUAGAGACGGGGUUUCACCGUGGUCUCGAUCUCCUGACCUUGUGAUCCGCCCGCCUCGGCCUCCCAAAGUGCUGGGAUUACAAGCGUGAGCCACUGCGCCCGGCACAUCGUUAUUAUUAUUUUGUUGUUGUUGUUGGUUUUGGCCAAACUUUUUAUUUGGUAUGCUGUAGUUGUUUAACACACACUUAAAUGGUCUUAUUGGGGGAAGGGAAAGGAGAGGUUCUUGCAGAUUCCCAAAAAAAUGUCAGAAAGGCAAAAUAGCCAGCAUUCUCCAUUUGCUUUUUUGGGUUUACUGGGUGAAUAGCACUUCCCUUAACAUAGGCAUCUGAUUUCAGGUUUUUCAUACUGAGAACAUUGAGAUUUCAGCUAGAAGACACCCUGAAAUCUUAUGAGUAGCAUACCUCAACCACUCUCUGAUAACUAACUUGUUUGUAUAGGCAGAACGAUUCAUCUCUCCAUUUUAGAUGGCUAGAUAAAACUACAUCAUUAUUGACUAUAGUCACUCUAUUGUGCAGUAAAUCUCAAAACCUUCUGUCUAUCUGAAAUUUUGCACCCUUUGAUUAACAAUUCCCCACUCUCCUUGUCUCCACUCUCCCCAGCUUCUGGUAGCCAUCAUUCUACUAUCUGCUGCUAUGAAUUUGACAUGUUUGGAUUCCACAUAUAAAUUAAUGCCAUUAUAAAGAGCUUGGUGGAGGGAGAUUGCGCUAUCUCUUUUGCCCUUCUGUCCCCACCAUGUGGAACAAAGUGUUUCUCCCCUUCGAAGGAUGCAACCUUCAAGGCAUCAUCUUGGAAUCAGAAUUGCCAAACCUGCCAGUGCCUUGAUAUUGGACCUCUCAGCCUCCAGAACUGUGAAUAAAUUUCUCUUUAUGAAUUA